rnacentral:tRNA from 1 species
GCCGAUUUGGCUUAGUGGAUAAAGCAUCAGCCUGUGGACUGAAGGAUCCCUGGUUCGAUUCCAGUCAAGGGCA